AUGGCUAAAGCAAUAGCUACUGUCUGGACCGGAACAGAUCAUCGUUUGUGCACGUGGCAUAUCGAGGAGACUAUGGUGAUGCACAUCCGCAAGAAAAAGCUUGAGGAAUUUAGGGAAUUCAUUUACCACCGUUGGGAUGUUGAUGAGUUUGAGAAAAGAUGGGAGGCUUAUAAGGUUCGGUUCAAAAUAAAACAAACGGGGAAGAGGUCGUCAUGGAUUAACAGGAUGUACGAGCUGCGACACAAAUGGGAGGCUGCGUACACAAAGGGUAGAUAUUUCCUAGGCAUGAUGAGUAAUCAGAGGAGUGAGUCUCUCAACUUAAGGCUUCAUGUGCACCUGAACAAGAAGAUGCAACUUGUUGAUUUGUUGCAGCAUGUUGAGCACUGUGUAUCCAUAAUGCGUAAGAAUGAAGCAGCAUUAGACGCAGUAGCGACACAUACGAUACCCUUCACUAAGCUGAAUGCACAUCCUUUGGAGAUUUGUACCUCUUAUAUUUAUACAACUGUGAUGUUUCCACGGGUAAAGUGUCAGAUUGUCGAAGGAACAAAUUGGCAGGUCGCAGAUCGGGUAGUGUGUGAUGGUUUGGUCGUGUUUGGAGUUUUGGCAAAGUCCCAUAUGGCAGGGAUGCUAGAGAAUUGCAAGGUAAGGAUGGUAAGGACUCGGAUGCUAAGGUUCCUACAGACUUGGAAAGUAAGGAUGCUGAGGACUUGCAUGCAAAAAACUUGGAUGCUGAGGAUCCCAAUGACUUGGAAGGCAAGGAUGGUGUGGACUUGCAUGCAAAAAACCUAG
rnacentral:rRNA from 1 species